rnacentral:rRNA from 1 species
UACGUAGGUGGCGAGCGUUGUCCGGAUUUACUGGGCGUAAAGGGCGCGUAGGUGGCCUGCCAAGUCCAUCGUGAAAGGUUGCGGCCCAACUGCAACAGUGCGGUGGAUACUGGUGGGCUUGAGGGCAGCAGAGGCCGGUGGAAUUCCCGGUGGAGUGGUGAAAUGCGUAGAUAUCGGGAGGAACACCAGAGGCGAAGGCGGCCGGCUGGGCUGUACCUGACGCUGAGGCGCGAAAGCGUGGGGAGCGAACCGG